AAGACGUAUCAACAAGAAAUUUCAUUUCUAAGAGGACAAAAUAUGCUAUGUUUUCGUGAAUCCAUGAUUCGACCUGAAGAAGAAGGAAAGAACUGGACAUCCAGAUGAGUACAUUGAUAUCGAAGAAAAAAAGAGGAGGGAGCACACAGGUGAGCAGGUGCAGGAACCAGCCGGACAAUUUGCCGCCAGCAGGAAUGAACUCCAAGCAGGCCCCACUGCAGUAUCCAGGUCGGGGUGCCUGUGACUUCUGAAGCCACAGAGGAGCUAGUCCAUCAGGCUCUAAAUUUUUAAACGUGUAAGUUUCAGAAUCACAGAAAUCUUAGAAGAUAUUGAACAGCUAAAGCUUUGAAGCAACGAGACUUUAGAUCCUCUCUCCUCAUUCCUAUUUUCCUCAUCAUAUCAACCUUUUUAAGAAGCAGAAGAAUGAUGAAAGAGAUGGGGCCAA
rnacentral:lncRNA from 10 species